AAAAAGACUGACCUUACAGUUUUACAUCUAUAACGUUCAGGGAGCUCUAUGUGGUGAAAGCCUAACUAACCGAUGGGCCUGAACUUGGAGAAAGGGCUUCUAGGAGUUUCACAGGGCCUUUCCCUGCAUGUCUGGGUUUGGACCCAUAACCCUAAGAAGCUGGCAGGGUGAAGUUCAAAGAAUCCCACUUCGUGGCAGCCAUACUGAUCAAGUCACUCUCGGGCUUAAAACCCUCCAGUGCUUCCUAUGGUCCUCUGGAAAAAAGACGAGACUCGAUGACACUUUGCAGCCUGACCUCUGUCCACUCACCUCUCCAACCUCUUGCAGUCCAUGCGGCGCCCUGCUCUCCACGCACCGGCCAUCCUCAGCUGCUUCAGAACAGAAGAGCUGAUAUUCUUCUCCUCUAAAUACGUCCUACUCUGUCUGUUGAUCCCCUUUGAACUCCUGGUGGAAGCUGUCCAUUUGAAGGGGUAGAUGCUCUGAUCCCUGUGGGCAAUACCCCCCCCAGGGGGGACCCUCUGCUGAUGUAUCACCUUCCAUCCUUGAACUCUGAUGAUAACUGAACACUCGGCCCUGCGGGGGAAGCCAGCUCUGCAGUGAAGGUUUCAGCAUCUGGUGAAAACCUGAGAACUAAUGGGUGAACACAGGACCUCUCAGGACCUCAGGACCAGACGAACACUUGAGAAGUCCCCGAGUCCAACUUUCAGAGGAGCAGCUUGUGGGAAUGAGGGAGGAAGACAAGAGCCCUUUAUGCAACCACCAAACUUCACUCAACAGCUCCGCGGCCCUGGAACGACCGACCUUGAAGAGGUCAUUCCGGAAGUUAAGGAUGUAAGGCCCUAAGGUCCCAAGAGCCCUUUGAUGAUGAGGGCCUCCAUGAGCAAAACAGGGGUCAAGAUAUCCCACAGCCUGCAGCUUUUUUCCCUGCCUGAGGCAGGAAGUUUUUCCUGGGCUGCUUCUCUCAGGCUCUCACCACCCCAGACAAGAAGUGAAUGGGGGGAAAGCCCUGGAACCAGACAGAAGUGAGAGAAGUUCCUUUGGCACGGUCUCGGUAACCUUGGAGAUUCGGGAUUGCUCCCAACAGGGCUCCGAGACAAUGCGGUGCAGAAAGGCGAGGCCUUGUUAUUGGAGCUCUCAGAACCCGCCAAGAAGGGGUCAGACACGAGCGGAUAAAGGGUGUGGGACGCACGCCCGGCUGCACCCCGAUCUUGGCUGCAGCGGCCGCGCAGGGCGGAGGAGACCGGCACCGCAGCUCCCCAGCGUGCGCCCGGCCCUCCCACCGCCGGUGGCCGCUGCCAGGAGGCCGCCCGCUGGCGGGAAGCGGCCAGGAAACCUCAGGGCCGCGCGGAGACAGUAGCCUCCUUGUUCCGCAGCCUGGUGGCUUCUCUACCCCUCCCCCCGCGCCGGGAGGGCCAGACAUCCCCGCCCCGCCCCCAGCCCCCACCUCUCCCGGCGGUUCUUUCCGCCCUGGCUCUGAAAGCGUUAACCCCCGAGCUUUGCCCGCUCCCGCCCAAGUUCCUAAAAAAGAAAGGUGCAAAGUUUGGUCCAGAUAGAGAAUGAAUGAUCAAAGCCAAGCCGAUACUUCCUGUCGCCCGGACGCUAUAUAUAACGUGAUGAGUGCACGGGCUGCGGAGACGCACCGGAGCGCUCGCCCAGCCGCCGCCGCCGCCGCCCAGCUCCU
rnacentral:lncRNA from 1 species